UUACUAAUAGGUUAUGUAAACUAAUAGAUUGUGGUUCUAUUGAAUACUUGUUGAUUUAGAAAUAGUAUUAGUAAA
rnacentral:tRNA from 1 species